GAUGAACGCUAGCGGCAGGCUUAAUACAUGCAAGUCGAGGGGUAACAUGGGGUAGCAAUACUCUGAUGACGACCGGCAAACGGGUGCGGAACACGUACGCAACUUUCCCAAACUGGUGAAUAGCCCUCCGAAAGGAGGAUUAAUACACCGUAACAUAACGAGGUGGCAUCAUCUUGUUAUUAUAGCUCCGGCGGUUUUGGAUGGGCGUGCGCCUGAUUAGGUAGUUGGCGGGGUAACGGCCCACCAAGCCUACGAUCAGUAACUGGUGUGAGAGCACGACCAGUCACACGGGCACUGAGACACGGGCCCGACUCCUACGGGAGGCAGCAGUAAGGAAUAUUGGUCAAUGGACGAAAGUCUGAACCAGCCAUGCCGCGUGAAGGAUGAAGG
rnacentral:rRNA from 1 species